rnacentral:rRNA from 1 species
UACGGGGGGGGUAAGCGUUGUUCGGAAUUACUGGGCGUAAAGGGCGCGUAGGCGGCCAACUAAGUCAGACGUGAAAUCCCUCAGCUUAACUGGGGAACUGCGUCUGAUACUGGAUGGCUUGGAUUCGGGAGAGGAAUGCGGAAUUCCAGGUGUAGCGGUGAAAUGCGUAGAUAUCUGGAGGAACACCGGUGGCGAAGGCGGCAUUCUGGACCGAUAUUGACGCUGAGGAGCGAAAGCCAGGGGAGCAAACGGG